ACCCUCCAGCGCCCUUCUCUCUCAGAUCGAAAUGUUGAUCGGAGCAGCUGAAAAAGGAGGAAAGUAAAACUGAAUGGACUUGGAGUCUUCAGUGACAGACACAUUUACUACAAACAUAC
ensembl:snoRNA